rnacentral:rRNA from 1 species
CCUACGGGAGGCAGCAGUGGGGAAUAUUGCACAAUGGGGGAAACCCUGAUGCAGCAACGCCGCGUGAGUGAUGAAGGUUUUCGGAUCGUAAAACUCUGUCUUUGGGGACGAUAAUGACGGUACCCAAGGAGGAAGCCACGGCUAACUACGUGCCAGCAGCCGCGGUAAUACGUAGGUGGCAAGCGUUGUCCGGAUUUACUGGGCGUAAAGGGAGCGUAGGUGGAUUUUUAAGUGAGAUGUGAAAUACUCGGGCUCAACCUGAGAACUGCAUUUCAAACUGGAGAUCUAGAGUGCAGGAGAGGAAAGUGGAAUUCCUAGUGUAGCGGUGAAAUGCGUAGAUAUUAGGAAGAACACCAGUGGCGAAGGCGACUUUCUGGACUGUAACUGACACUGAGGCUCGAAAGCGUGGGGAGCAAACAGGAUUAGAUACCCUGGUAGUCCACGCCGUAAACGAUGGGAACUAGGUGUAGGAAGUGUUGACCCUUUCUGUGCCGAAGCUAACGCAUUAAGUUCCCCGCCUGGGGAGUACGGUCGCAAGGCUAAAACUUAAAGGAAUUGACG